UGGGCCCAUAAGAGAACAUUGUGUGUGUAUGUGUGUGUGUGUGUGUGUGUGUGUGUGUGUGUGUGUGCACGUGCACGCACGUAUGUGUUGGGGGCUGUGUAGCUUCUCCUAACUUCACCAUGCAGAAGUCAAGGAAACGGUUACAGAGGCAAAAUGUGGGAGUAGCUAAUGGCAAUGGCCCAGAGAGAUGAAAAAAUGUGAGAAAACCAAAGCUUGGAGGUAGGAACUUUCCGAUUCUUUUGGAGUAGACUAAGGUGACUUAAGUAGGAAAAGAACGCAUAGCCAGUAACUCUCCCAACAGAACUGGAUUCGUGCCUGGGGUGAUUCAGGAUGUCCAGUUAAGCUGGGAAAUACUGAUUCCACUGAUCCCCUUCAUUCACUCAGAGCAGACCGAAGACUGUGAGACUUCCUCCCCACAGUGAGCUAAAAGGACGCUUUUGUCAGAGUGGGGAAAUAAAAGGGCUUUAUGGGAAGGAAGAUAAGAACAGAUGAGUCAGAGGUUUCUGCUUAAUGGUGGUACAGCCAAGCAGACAGGCAAGUAAGUGGCCAUACUGCUACUGCCUCAUGUAGGAUCCGGCAGGCUGGUGGGUUAUCAGUCCUCACGUGGGACCCUCCCACCAUGGCAGCUGAGCACAUCCAAGCUGGGGGAUCCUGAAGAGACCUUCACCUGGGUGCCACGUGGAAGAUUGGCCAGCACCAUUUUGACUCCUGUGGAUGGGUGAGUGUUUUGCCCACCCCCACCCCAAUAACAUCAGCACCCAAACUGCACCUGGUCACCUGUCUACAUUCAGAUUUAGAUGAAAGCCACACCAUGGAGGCAGCCAGAGGCCCAUGGGAGAUGUCUGGAUUCGCAGAGGAAUAGCUCCAUGUGAUGCAAACCUUGACUAAUGGGAACAGGAAAAGGGAGGAAACCAGGAAGAUAAAUCUCCCUCCCUUCUCAUUGCUCCUUGCAACCCUUCCCACUUGAAGCAUGACCACAUUUAAUGAACAACCUGCUGUGUCUCUUGGAAGCUUGCUGCAAGGCAGCAAUCAGCACAAUAACAUUGUAUUGUAUCUUCCUCUGCUUCACUUCUCUUCCUCCCUCACCCUCACUGCCCUGAGCUGGCACAUCCCAAAGAAAGCAUUACCACAUUAAUCCUUGUCUCAGACUCUGCUUUCAAGAGGAUCUAGGUGAAGGAAAUUCCUAUUACUCCACCUCUUCAUCACCUCUUCAAAUGUCAGACUUUAAAAAUGGUGUCAUUUUGUUGAGUGUAUCUCAUUGUGGUUUUAAUUUGCAUUUUCCUGAUUAUGAAUGGGGUUGGCUAACUUUUCCUAUGUUUAUUGGAUUUCUUCAUUUUUGAAGUGCUUGUUUAAGUUUUCUACUAAUUUUUCUAUUGGGUUGUCUUUUUUUUUUCUUUCUUUCUUUUUAAGACAGAAUCUUGCUCUGUUGCCCUGGCUAGAGUGCAGUGAUGUAAUAAUAGCUCACUGAAACCUCGAACUCCUGGGCUCAAGCAAUUAUCCCAUCUCGGCCUCCCAAGUAGCUGGAACUACAGGUGUGCACCACUACCACCAUGC
rnacentral:lncRNA from 1 species